AAACUUUCAACAACGGAUCUCUUGGUUCUGGCAUCGAUGAAGAACGCAGCGAAAUGCGAUAAGUAAUGUGAAUUGCAGAAUUCAGUGAAUCAUCGAAUCUUUGAACGCACAUUGCGCCCGCCAGUAUUCUGGCGGGUUUGCUGUUCGAGCGUCAUUUC
rnacentral:rRNA from 1 species